UACAGAGGGGGCAAGCGUUGUUCGGAAUUACUGGGCGUAAAGGGCGCGUAGGCGGCCCGCUAAGUCGAACGUGAAAUCCCCGAGCUCAACUCGGGAACUGCGUCCGAUACUGGCGGGCUUGAAUCCGGGAGAGGGAUGCGGAAUUCCAGGUGUAGCGGUGAAAUGCGUAGAUAUCGGAAGGAACAUCAGUGGCGAAGGCGACUUCCUGGACCAAUACUGACGCUCAGGUGCGAAAGCGUGGGGAGCAAACAGG
rnacentral:rRNA from 1 species